GCCCAGAUGGCGGAAUCGGUAGACGCGAUGGUCUCAAACACCAUUGGAGCAAUCCGUGCCGGUUCGACCCCGGCUCUGGGUA
rnacentral:tRNA from 2 species